rnacentral:rRNA from 1 species
CAGUCGCCGAGGUAAUACGAAGGGGGCUAGCGUUGCUCGGAAUGACUGGGCGUAAAGGGCGCGUAGGCGGCGAUCAAAGUCAGGCGUGAAAUUCCUGGGCUCAACCUGGGGGCUGCGCUUGAUACUUGGUUGCUUGAGUGGGGAAGAGGGUCGUGGAAUUCCCAGUGUAGAGGUGAAAUUCGUAGAUAUUGGGAAGAACACCGGUGGCGAAGGCGGCAACCUGGCUCAUUACUGACGCUGAGGCGCGAAAGCGUGGGGAGCAAACAGGAUUAGAGACCCCCGUAGUCCCUGUCUCUUAUAC